rnacentral:rRNA from 1 species
AUUGAACGCUGGCGGCAUGCUUUACACAUGCAAGUCGAACGGCAGCGGGGAGGAGCUUGCUUCUCUGCCGGCGAGUGGCGAACGGGUGAGUAAUACAUCGGAACGUGUCGAGAAGAGGGGGAUAACCACCCGAAAGGGUGGCUAAUACCGCAUAAAUUCUGAGGAAGAAAGCUGGGGACCUGGGAAUAGGCCUAGCGCUUUUUGAGCGGCCGAUGUCGGAUUAGCUAGUUGGUGAGGUAAAGGCUCACCAAGGCGAAGAUCUGUAGCGGGUCUGAGAGGAUGAUCCGCCACACUGGGACUGAGACACGGCCCAGACUCCUACUGGAGGCAGCAGUGGGGAAUUUUGGACAAUGGGGGCAACCCUGAUCCAGCCAUGCCGCGUGUAUGAAGAAGGCCUUAGGGUUGUAAAGUACUUUUGUUAGGGAAGAAAAGUCAGCUGUGAAUAAUGGCUGAUACUGACGGUACCUAAAGAAUAAGCACCGGCUAACUACGUG